CAAAGUGGAUUAGCGGCGGACGGGUGAGUAACACGUGAGUAACCUGCCUUAGACAUUGGGAUAGCCUCGGGAAACCGGGAUUAAUACCAAAUAAAAUCAUAAUGACACAUGUCAUAACGAUCAAAACUCCGGUGGUCUAAGAUGGACUCGCGUCCCAUUAGCUAGUUGGUAGGGUAAAAGCCUACCAAGGCGACGAUGGGUAGCCGGCCUGAGAGGGUGAACGGCCACAUUGGAACUGAGAAACGGUCCAA
rnacentral:rRNA from 1 species